AGCCUCCGUAAUAUCUAACAUCCGAUGUGAAUCCCCCGGCUCAACCGUGGAGGGUCAUUGGAAACUGGGAAACUUGAGUGCAUAAGAGGAAAGUGGAAUUCCAUGUGUAGCGGUGAAAUGCUCAAAGAUAUGGAGGAACACCAAUGGCGAAGGCGACUUUCUGGUCUGUAACUGACGCUGAUGUGCGAAAGCGUGGGGAUCAAACAGGAUUAGAUACCCUGGUAGUCCACGCCGUAAACGAUGAGUGCUAAGUGUUAGGGGGUUUCCGCCCCUUAGUGCUGCAGCUAACGCAUUAACCACUCCGCCUGGGGAGUACGACCGCAAGGUUGAAACUCAAAGGAAUUGACGGGGACCCGCACAAGCGGUGGAACAUGUGGUUUAAUUCGAAACAACGCGAACAACCUUACCAAAUCUUGACAUCCUUUGAAAACUCUAGAGAUAGAGCCUUCCCCUUCGGGGGACAAAGUGACAGGUGGUGCAUGGUUGUCAUCAACUCGUGUCGUGAGAUGUUGGGUUAAGUCCCGCAACGAGCGCAACAUAAGUA
rnacentral:rRNA from 1 species